rnacentral:tRNA from 1 species
AUUCUUUUAGUAUCAAACAGUACAAUUGACUUCCAAUCAAUCAGCUUCGGUAAAACCCGAAAAAGAAUA